GGCCUGGGGGUGACCCAUCCCUACCCCCAACCCCACAGGGGCCGUGCGAAGUUUUGGGUCGGCCAAAGCCCGCUAUGAUUUCUGCGCCCGCGACCGGACGGAGCUGACGCUGCGGGAAGGGGACAUCAUCCGCGUCCUCAGCAAGAAGGGGCACCCAGGAUGGUGGAAAGGGGAGAUCUACGGGCGGGUCGGAUGGUUCCCCGCAAACUACGUGGAGGAGGAUUACUCGGAGUAUUGCUGACCGCAGGACCCCUAAAUGUCCCCACCCUAUAUCCCCAACCCCACACCUUCUGCACCCCCCUUUGAGGUCACUGCAUCCUCCCCUCCCCUUUAAUUAAUUUAUGCCUCCUCUUGCCUACAAGGGAGCAAUAAAAAGGGUGAGGACGAG